AGUCGUAACAAGGUAACCGUAGGUGAACCUGCGGUUGGAUCAUUACCAAAUGAUAGCCGAGUGGUUCUUGGGUUCCUGCCGAAAGGUGGUUGAGCUUCAUACUACAAGGCAACAACACUUUGUGCACUGUAAUUGUAUUUUGGGUUUUUGGUACGGUUCUUUCGAGGACCAAGCCAGGAGCCCUACCUACGAAAAACACUUUAAACUUAUCUGAACUUUAUAAGAAAUUAUAAACAACUUUUGACAACGGAUCUCUUGGCUCUCGCAACGAUGAAGAACGCAGCGAAAUGCGAUACGUAAUGUGAAUUGCAGAAUUCCGUAAAUCAUCGAAUCUUUGAACGCACAUUGCACUCUAUUUCGGUAGAGUAUGCCUGUUUGAGAAUCUAAAGUAUUCAUUUACGGUUCUAGUCUUUUAGAAGAGAACCGUGAGAUAUGAGCCUUCAGGCUGUUUCGGCAGACUGUGGUUUGAAAUGCAUUGCCGGUUCGACUUGAUAGCGACGACCUAUUAAAGGCGACUGAAAAGUAUUGAAUGGAGGUCUUUCGAGACUGCCUCUUUUGCUUAUUAAGCGCCCAAUAGAGAGCUGCCAAGUGGUUCUGAGCCCACCUAUAAGACCAUAGACUCUUGAGUGUAUGGUUUGAACCAUGGUCUCAAAUCAGGUAGGAAUACCCGCUGAACUUAAGCAUAUCAAUAAGCGGAGGAAAAGAAACUAACAAGGAUUCCCCUAGUAACGGCGAGUGAAGCGGGAACAGCUCAAAUUUGAAAUCUCCCUUUGGGGCGAAUUGUAGUUUAGAGAAGCGUUUUCGGCGAUAGUCUGCGGUACAAGUUCUUUGGAACAAGGCAUCAUAGAGGGUGAAAAUCCCGUCUUUGACCGUAGCACUAGGACCAUAUGAUACGUUUUCCAAGAGUCGGUUUGUUUGGGAAUGCAGACCAAAAUGGGUGGUAAAUACCAUCUAAAGCUAAAUAUUGGCGAGAGACCGAUAGCGAACAAGUACCGUGAGGGAAAGAUGAAAAGAACUUUGAAAAGAGAGUUAAAUAGUACGUGAAAUUGUCAAAAGGGAAACGCUUGAAACCAGUAUUGCUUUGCAAGUCAACAUCAGUUUGGUUUGGAGUAAAAAGCCAUAGGAAGGUAGCCUCUCGGGGUGUUAUAGCCUAUGGUCAUGCUCUGGGCUAGACUGAGGACUGCAGUGUUAUUUGGGGUAACCACACCGACACUUUGGAUGUUGACGAAAUGGUUUUAAGCGACC
rnacentral:rRNA from 1 species